rnacentral:rRNA from 1 species
GACGAAGGAUGCAAGCGUUAUCCGGAUUCAUUGGGUUUAAAGGGAGCGUAGGCGGUCUUGUAAGUCAGUGGUGAAAUCUCGCAGCUUAACUGCGAAACUGCCAUUGAUACUGCUUGACUAGAGUAUAGAUGCUGUGGGCGGAAUAUGACAUGUAGUGGUGAAAUACAUAGAGAUGUCAUAGAACACCGAUUGCGAAGGCAGCUCACAAAACUAUAACUGACGCUGAGGCUCGAAAGUGUGGGGAUCAAACAGG